UGGGGAAUAUUGGACAAUGGAGGAAACUCUGAUCCAGCAAUUCUGUGUGUGUGAAGAAGGUUUUAGGACUGUAAAACACUUUUAGUAGGGAAGAAAAAAAUGACGGUACCUACAGAAGAAGCAACGGCUAAAUACGUGCCAGCAGCCGCUGUAAUACGUAUGUUGCGAGCGUUAUCCGGAAUUAUUGGGCGUAAAGGGUGCGUAGGUGGUCUUUCAAGUCGGUGGUUAAAGGCUACGGCUCAACCGUAGUUAGCCUCCGAAACUGGAAGACUUGAGUGCAGGAGAGGAAAGUGGAAUUCCCAGUGUAGCGGUGAAAUGCGUAGAUAUUGGGAGGAACACCAGUAGCGAAGGCGGCUUUCUGGACUGCAACUGACACUGAGGCACGAAAGCGUGGGUAGCAAACAGG
rnacentral:rRNA from 1 species